UACGUAGGGUGCAAGCGUUAAUCGGAAUUACUGGGCGUAAAGCGUGCGCAGGCGGUUCGCUAAGACAGAUGUGAAAUCCCCGGGCUAACCUGGGAACUGCAUUUGUGACUGGCGGCUAGAGUAUGGCAGAGGGGGGUAGAAUUCACGUGUAGCAGUGAAAUGCGUAGAGAUGUGGGGGAAUACCGAUGGCGAAGGCAGCCCCCUGGGCCAAUACUGACGCUCAUGCACGAAAGCGUGGGGAGCAAACAGG
rnacentral:rRNA from 1 species